rnacentral:ncRNA from 1 species
UCUGGUAGCCCAGAACUACAAGCCAGAUUACCAGCACAUUAUUUAGGUUUAUUUUAAGUCAUAAAAACAGAAGCCUCAUUCGUGAUGCUUCGGUGAAUUGAAUGUAAAAUGGCUACUUUGC